UUUGCAGAUUGAAGCAUGUGGUGGCCAAGCCUUGACUUUUGGAGGUGAUGUUUCAAAAGAAGAAGCUGUAGAAUCCAUGAUGAAAACUGUGGUUGAUCGAUGGGGAACAGUUGAUAUCUUGAUCAAUAAUGCAGGUAUCACACGCGAUACCUUGUUGAUGAGAAUGAAGAAGUCUCAGUGGCAGGAGGUUAUUGAGUUGAAUCUUACAGGAGUUUUUCUCUGCACACAGGCUGCAGCUAAAAUCAUGAU